GUCACCACCACGUGCACCGCGCAUUCUCACAUCGAGAUGAUUCAGCCACCACGGUAACCACGCGCUCCAGCCACUCACUCCCUCAGCUCAAGAAUACACCAACAUUCCGAACUGCAGGCAACAGGCGGGUGGAGAGAUCGGGGAGCCAGCUUGGAUAGCGGAGAGCGCACACCACCAGCGCAGUCGAGACUAAAACGGAAAUAACGAAUUAACUACCAAAGGGAUUGUCAUUUCCUUAACAUCCUAUCAACCGUUAAUGACAGACACAUCGUUAAAGGAGGCAAAACGAAAAACACAACAGAGAUUGAUUUAUUAUCCAUAGUUUACCGUUCCAGCGCGUGGAAAGAUGAAGACUAAAAACCUUGAGCAAAGCUUGUCUGAUUCCAGAGAAUUGGAUGGAUCGUAUGACCAGCUGACUGGUGUUCAAGUCAAUGCUCCAUCAGAUCUGUUGGGUCCAUCGCUGGUAAGAGGACGGAGUGGAAUGCCACUGUUACAAUGGAUCAGCAGAGGAAGUAGAGGUGGCUACAGGAAGAUUCAUCAACCUACAAAGCACUGUACUCUGUGGUCAUGGACAAACACCUGCAGAAGGAUCUUGAUCAGAUGGCACUGUUUAAACACACAGGCACUCCAAGAUGCAUUGUUUACCCUAAACAAUUAAAACAAUGGAUUGCCUAGCCAAUAUAUCGCCCAUCACUCAAAAAUUCAGGAAUGACCUGAAUAAUUGAAAUACUAGGAGCCAAAAUCUGUUGGAAAAGGCUGUGGUCUGGUUGACAACAUGGCCCCCAUCCCAACAUGGUCCUCCUUGCACUACAACCUAAUACAAACACAUUAUAUUGUAACGUAAUUUGUUAGCCUCUGGUCCUUAUCACUCUGCAUCUGUAGCAUUUGAAAAAAAUCCAUUCAAUGUAGGCUGCUACUGUACAUAAAAGCAUAUCUAAUUUAUACUGUCUAUUUUAUUGUAUAUUUGACCUUUUAUUGAUAUGAAUUUUAAGAAUGCCUUGUCUGCACUGUGUAUUGUUCAUUAUACAGACCCCAAGUCUGUGUUGUAAAAAAUCUAUAGCGGUCUUUG